AGUAGAUAGGCCCUGAAUGCUAGACCUUGCCAAAGAUGGUUCAACCUCUUCAGUGUGAUCUAAAACUGGAGGAUCUCUGUUCGAUACAUGGUCUCCCGACCUGGAUGAAUCUUUCUCAAUUUUUGGCUUCUUUGUCUCUUGCUGGUCAAAAAAAUUGGGAGGAAGCAUAGAUGAUGCACGAGGCUUGGACAUUGCAGCAGAAGGUUCAGGUUCUUUACGGCUUAUGCCCUCAGAAAUUUCAGGCUUGGAUUUAGGCAACUCCUUUGGAGGCUGGCUUUUUACGUUGUUUGGAUUUUUUGCUGUAGCAGCAUUAGCUUUGAGAUUAUUUAUGGCCUCG
rnacentral:misc_RNA from 1 species